GCUAGAUUGCUCUUUAGCAAUGCUGGCGUUGUUGGUAGCGCCGGUGUCAGAGAAUGUAACCUGAUUGAAACAGUGACGGAGAUCCUAACAAAUAGCUAAUUAUUGCCUAAUUACUCGACUGUUUGCUAAAAGGCGUUGAAAAAUUCAUAAGUUCUCAAGCGGUUCCCCCAUGCACCAAACAUUUUUCCAUGCUGGAGUUAGAAAGAGAAAAAAAAGGAAAAACAAAAAGCAAAAUUAUAUUUCGGAAUCUCUUUCUAUUUCUACAUCCACCUUCCCCUCUACCUUCCCCUCUAUCUUUCCCUCUCUUCUCCUCCUCCACCCUUUUAUCGUACUCCCAUGAAAACUUGUUACAACAUUGCUUUAGCAUCCUAAGGAAUUUCACUCAUUUUGGGAAAUAACUCCUUUUCCUGAAGAGUCGUUCGACUCCGUUCAAGACGAAAGCGUCAGUCUGCGCAGCCUCAAAAAAUAUGGCUGCAACCAGCGACCUUUGACAUGUCCUCCGCAGAUGCACCAAUGCUCAAACAGUAGUCUGCAGCCAAUCGGUUACGGUCACCACAGCUUGCCCCGACGCCAGAAUAACAUGGCAAGCAACUCGCAGACCGACCUUUGCAGUUUAUGUGGCUUUAGUAUUCGCGAUGAUCGUGUUUCUAUCAAAGGUGUGGUUUACCAUAAGGCGUGCUUCAAGUGCACUCGCUGUGAUGCUCCUCUCACUCUAAGAAGUUACAGGUAAGGGAUC